rnacentral:lncRNA from 1 species
CGCAGGCGGCGGAGGAUUGGCUUGGGUUGGGUGUGUGUGUGUGUGGGGGGGGGGGGUAUAGGGGUGAAUCGGAAAAUGUGCUUACACCACUGCUAGUCAUGCUGGCUCAACAGUGUUCCCUUCUAAGGACUGUCCUUCAAAGUCUACAGAGACAGGUUGCGGACACAGCGAGGAUUCGACAAACCACAGAGAAAAGAGAGAAGAAACAAAAAAAGAAACAGAAGAAAGUUGAAAAGACAAACAUAGGGAUGGAGGCAGAGAAGAAUCAAGCACAGUAAAGAACAAAAAAGAAUGAAAAAGAAGGGAGGGAAGAAAGAGAGAGAGAGAAGAGAAAAGAAAGGAAGGAAGCAAGAAUCCAAAAAGAAAUAGAGAAAAUACACGUGCCAGAAAUCCUUUUGGGAUUAUCUUUUCUUUUUCUGUCUUUGGACUUAUCUUUUGUGCCCACGCGAUUGCCCACACUUAACAAAUCAAAUGAGUCUUGUGCUGUUCUCCAUACUCUCUAGUGGCAGCCAAGAAAAGAACAAAUUGGAUUUUGAUCACCGCAUGAAUCAUUAGACCUAUCAGUGGCGGAACCUACCAGCUGCUCAUGUGCUUUCUGACCCUCAAGACACUCGGACGUAAUUUGUGUGCUGCACUUGUGUGCCUCCCUGCUGUGUCCCUGUAAGAGGAACCCUGCUGGAGAUGGUGGGGUGGACACACUGGAUACUGAACACCUGCCCAGGUGAGAUCACUGCCUCGCACUGGUGUGACACACGGGACUCAGAGUGUGUGAGAGUCGUGGACAUAGCUGUGGCCAUAUCAAUAGCUUCCUUAAAGCUCCCGAAACAGCAACCCACUUCAUACGUGCGUCAAGGCCCUGUCCACGAGACAAAUUACUUUUUGCCAUGCCAUCCGAGACCGUCUGUCUGGACUGAAAAUGGCCACCCCAGUCACGCUGGUUUGAGCUCAGCGUAUUUAUAUCCACUGACUGUUGUCAGCACAUUUUUAGAAUAUAACAUUAUAUAAACUUCAGUGUAGUGUGUGGUAGUGUGUGGUA